rnacentral:tRNA from 2 species
GCGGAAAUGACGGAAUGGCAGACGUGCAAGAUUGAGGGUCUUGUGAGCAUAUUGCUCGUGUGGGUUCAAAUCCCAUUUUCCGCA